AACAACAAAUUAAAUGUGAAAAACGAAAAAAGAAACUACUGCUAGAAGUAGAGCUAUAAGGAAUUGAACCUUCUAUUCUAUUGCGGUCUCAAUUCAACAGGUGAAAGGUCAAUAAUCCUACAAAAUUUUGUUGAAGUACAUGCAUUCAAUUGUGGUUUUAUUGGGACAUGAGAGGGAGCGGUUUUGGAAGAUGAGGGGUUUUGGAGGUUAGGAGAUGAGAGGGAAUAGUUUUGGUGCAAUUAUAUGCAUUCAAUUGUGGUUUUAUUGGAGAUACGGAGAGAACGGUUUUGAAGAUGAGGGUUUGGAGGUUGGGAGAUGAAAGAGAGCAAUUUUGAAAGAAGGAGUAAUGCCAUGUCAGCAAGAUAUUGGGGAUUCAUAGAUUAGUAU
rnacentral:lncRNA from 1 species